CUCUCUCAGAGAAGGAGAAGAACUCCAUUAGAGUUACAAGGAAGAUUUUUAUUCUGAAUCUUCUCUUAUCCAUUAGACUUCAACUCCACGAACACCAGUUACACUUACACCACCUCUAGAUCGAGAAGAAGAAGGAGAAAUUGUUAACCAAGGGGUUAUAUCACGCCAAGGAGAAGACUAAGGGAAAGGAUUCAAGGAACCAUCCACCUCAGAAAUUGUUAAUCAAGGAGUUCCACUGGUUCUAUCAUAGCCACCACCAGUGCUGCCAUGGAGUUGGAAUAGCCGAAUAGUCAUCUUUUCUUUGCAAUGUCCUUCUUUUCUUCAUUCAAAUUACUUAAGAGUCUUAAGACUAUUAUCUGUAAUUGUGUAUGUCUAUGUGUUGCAGCUACUUUCUACUUGCUAUGUAUUUAGCUUUGGAUUGUUAAUAUUA